GGUUAAGCGACUAAGCGUACACGGUGGAUGCCCUGGCAGUCAGAGGCGAUGAAGGACGUGCUAAUCUGCGAUAAGCGUCGGUAAGGUGAUAUGAACCGUUAUAACCGGCGAUUUCCGAAUGGGGAAACCCAGUGUGAUUCGUCACACUAUCAUUAACUGAAUCCAUAGGUUAAUGAGGCGAACCGGGGGAACUGAAACAUCUAAGUACCCCGAGGAAAAGAAAUCAACCGAGAUUC
rnacentral:rRNA from 1 species